rnacentral:rRNA from 1 species
UACGUAGGUGGCAAGCGUUGUCCGGAAUUAUUGGGCGUAAAGGGCUCGUAGGCGGUCCAUCGCGUCGGGAGUGAAAAGCUGGGGCUUAACCCCAGUCCUGCUUCCGAUACGGGUGGACUAGAGGUAGGUAGGGGAGAACGGAAUUCCUGGUGUAGCGGUGAAAUGCGCAGAUAUCAGGAGGAACACCGGUGGCGAAGGCGGUUCUCUGGGCCUUACCUGACGCUGAGGUGCGAAAGCGUGGGGAGCAAACAGG